rnacentral:lncRNA from 1 species
CACCCUUUGGGAAGCAAUGGCUUUUCUUCCUCAAUUCAAUACUUUAGGACCUCUGCCUGGACUUCUUGAAAUAAAGUGCAGAGAUGUCACCAGACAUCUCAGGCAUAAUGGAUAAUGAAGCUUUGAUAUAAAUUUUAAGUCAUCUCCAAUAGUCCCAAUGAUGUAAAAGGAUAAUAAAUGGACUCUACACACAUACACCCUGAUGCCUACAUCUCAAGAACAUUAAAGA